AGGUAAGCUACUAAGAGCGAAUGGUGGAUGCCUUGACUGGUAAAGGCGAUGAAGGACGUACUAGACUGCGAUAAGCUACGGGGAGCUGUCAAGAAGCUUUGAUCCGUAGAUUUCCGAAUGGGGCAACCCAAUGUAUAGAGAUAUACAUUACCUAUAUAGGAGCGAACGAGGGGAAUUGAAACAUCUUAGUACCCUCAGGAAAAGAAAUCAAUAGAGAUUGCGUCAGUAGCGGCGAGCGAAAGCGCAAGAGGGCAAACCCAGUGCUUGCACUGGGGGUUGUAGGACUGCAAUGUGCAAGAGGUGAGUUUAGCAGAACAUUCUGGAAAGUAUAGCCAUAGAGGGUGAUAGUCCCGUAUGCGAAAAACAAACCUUAGCUAGCAGUAUCCUGAGUAGGGCGGGACACGAGAAAUCCUGUCUGAAGCUGGGUCGACCACGAUCCAACCCUAAAUACUAAUACCAGAUCGAUAGUGCACAAGUACCGUGAGGGAAAGGUGAAAAGAACUGAGGUGAUCAGAGUGAAAUAGAACCUGAAACCAUUUGCUUACAAUCAUUCAGAGCCCUAUGUAGCAAUACAGGGUGAUGGACUGCCUUUUGCAUAAUGAGCCUGCGAGUUGUGGUGUCUGGCAAGGUUAAGCAAACGCGAAGCCGUAGCGAAAGCGAGUCUGAAUAGGGCGCUUAGUCAGAUGCUGCAGACCCGAAACGAAGUGAUCUAUCCAUGAGCAAGUUGAAGCUAGUGUAAGAACUAGUGGAGGACUGAACCCAUAGGCGUUGAAAAGCCCCGGGAUGACUUGUGGAUAGGGGUGAAAGGCCAAUCAAACUUCGUGAUAGCUGGUUCUCUCCGAAAUAUAUUUAGGUAUAGCGUUGUGUCGUAAUAUAAGGGGGUAGAGCACUGAAUGGGCUAGGGCAUACACCAAUGUACCAAACCCUAUCAAACUCCGAAUACCUUAUAUGUAAUCACAGCAGUCAGGCGGCGAGUGAUAAAAUCCGUCGUCAAGAGGGAAACAACCCAGACUACCAGCUAAGGUCCCUAAAUCUUACUUAAGUGGAAAACGAUGUGAAGUUACUUAAACAACCAGGAGGUUGGCUUAGAAGCAGCCAUCCUUUAAAGAAAGCGUAAUAGCUCACUGGUCUAGUGAUUUUGCGCGGAAAAUAUAACGGGGCUAAAGUAAGUACCGAAGCUGUAGACUUGCGCACAACUUAGAUUAUUUAAGUUUAGAAUAUGAGAAACUAAGUUAUAUGUUUAGUUAUAUUUUUACUGAUUUUUAUAGAGUAAAGAUAGAA
rnacentral:rRNA from 1 species